GUACUUGCUUUGGCAGUAUUUAUGCUGAAAUUGGACCAACACAGAGGUGGUUAGCCUGACCAUUGUGCUAGGAUGUUGUACAAUUGUGAAUCAUUUCACCUUAUU